CACUACCCCACCCUGAACACCUGAACACACCCCACCCUUACACACUACACCCCACCUGACCACCCUAGCCCCACCCUAACACUCUGCCCCCCACCCUAAAAAAACCUGAAAACCUGAACACCCUACCCUAACACCCUACCAUGACCUGAACACCUGUACCCCCCCCCCCCUCCCCCUAAGCACCUGGACACAUGAAGGACUCCUUGUUUUGUUGUUUGACAGCAGAGGGGGAUGAUGCAGGCUGUGGAGCUGUGGUGAAGGAACUCCACCGAGCAGACCUUUGUCUCACAUCGAAACUGUGAUGGCGAUAACAGGAGUGACUCCUCCAAACACUUCUAGAUCCUUCUGCCCCCGGAGAACCUCUAGAUCCUGGUAACCCCAGAGAACCUCUAUCUCCUGGUGCCCCCAGAGAACCUCUAGAUCCUUCUGCCCCCGGAGAACAUCUAGAUCCUGGUGCCCCCAGAGAACCUCUAGAUCCUGGUGCCCCCAGAGAACCUUUAGAUCCUGGUGCCCCCAGAGAACCUCUAGAUCCUUCUGCCCCCGGAGAACAUCUAGAUCCUGGUGCCCCCAGAGAACCUCUAGAUCCUUCUGCCCCCGGAGAACAUCUAGAUCAGGGGUCUCAAACUCAACUUACCUGGGGGCCGCUGGAGGUAGAGUCUGGGUCGGGCUGGGCCACAUCAAGUAUUCCACAAAAAAAAGGAGCACAACUGACCCAAUCUAAGUUAAUGAUCGUGCUAUAUUUAGAUCACGUUGGCUAUUUAAUCGCUGACAACAGGAGACAUUUCAUAGUGGUUGGUGGAAAACCGAGAAAUGUUAGCGUCCUUUGGCUUUUAUCGGGACUCAGGACACACAACUCAAAAUUGGGACUGUCCCGGCAAAACCGGGACAUCUGGUCACCCUAUCACAAGUGAUAAAAAAGCGUGGCAAGUGACUCUGCAAAAAUGUGCGUUUGACAACAACGCGCGGGCCGCACUAACACUAAACUUUGAUGUCAAGUAGGGGGCCACAAAAUAACUUCCCGCCGGCCUUAAUUGGCCCCCGGGCCGCGAGUUUGAGACCUCUGAUCUAGAUCCUUCUGCUCCCAGAGAACAUCUAGAUCCUACUACCCUCAGAGGUGUCCAUCACCUUCCGUUAUGUGAUGAUCAUGAUUGAUCACUUCUUUAAUUAUACCCUUAACACUAACACUGACAACAGUAGACGUCUUAAUUCAUCCUGACAUCAUGAAAUCGUUAACCCCUGACCAAGGUCAAGCAAGGUCGCAGCGUCAGGCUUUGGUCAGAAACUCAAACUGUAUUUUUUAUGUGUAGAUUUUCAUACUUUCAAGGUCCGAUGAUUUUUAACGCUGGGAAUGAAACCAGUGGACUUUGGGAAUCGAUUGAAAUAUUUUUCACCGCAAUAAAGUAUUUUCCUGUCUUUUA